UACGAAGGGGGGCUAGCGUUGCUCGGAAUCACUGGGCGUAAAGCGCACGUAGGCGGACUCUUAAGUCAGGGGUGAAAUCCUGGAGCUCAACUCCAGAACUGCCUUUGAUACUGAAGAUCUUGAGUUCGGGAGAGGUGAGUGGAACUGCGAGUGUAGAGGUGAAAUUCGUAGAUAUUCGCAAGAACACCAGUGGCGAAGGCGGCUCACUGGCCCGAUACUGACGCUGAGGCACGAAAGUGUGGGGAUCAAACAGG
rnacentral:rRNA from 1 species